rnacentral:rRNA from 1 species
UACGGAGGGGGCUAGCGUUGUUCGGAAUUACUGGGCGUAAAGCGCGCGUAGGCGGCUUUGCAAGUCAGAGGUGAAAGCCCGGGGCUCAACCCCGGAAUUGCCUUUGAGACUGCAUCGCUAGAAUUGUGGAGAGGUAAGUGGAAUUCCGAGUGUAGAGGUGAAAUUCGUAGAUAUUCGGAAGAACACCAGUGGCGAAGGCGACUUACUGGACACAUAUUGACGCUGAGGUGCGAAAGCGUGGGGAGCGAACAGG